rnacentral:rRNA from 1 species
ACUUUUCGGAGGAUUUCAUUUGUGACUGAGCGGCGGACGGGUGAGUAACGCGUGGGUAACCUGCCUCAUACAGGGGGAUAACAGUUAGAAAUGACUGCUAAUACCGCAUAAGCGCACAGUACCGCAUGGUACAGUGUGAAAAACUCCGGUGGUAUGAGAUGGACCCGCGUUUGAUUAGCUAGUUGGUGAGGUAACGGCCCACCAAGGCGACGAUCAAUAGCCGACCUGAGAGGGUGACCGGCCACAUUGGGACUGAGACACGGCCCAGACUCC